rnacentral:rRNA from 1 species
GACGAACGCUGGCGGCGUGCUAACACAUGCAAGUCGCACGGAAAGGCCCUGCUUUUGUGGGGUGCUCGAGUGGCGAACGGGUGAGUAACACGUGAGUAACCUGCCCUUGACUUUGGGAUAACUUCAGGAAACUGGGGCUAAUACCGGAUAGGAGCUCCUGCUGCAUGGUGGGGGUUGGAAAGUUUCGGCGGUUGGGGAUGGACUCGCGGCUUAUCAGCUUGUUGGUGGGGUAGUGGCUUACCAAGGCUUUGACGGGUAGCCGGCCUGAGAGGGUGACCGGCCACAUUGGGACUGAGAUACGGCCCAGACUCCUACGGGAGGCAGCAGUGGGGAAUAUUGCACAAUGGGCGGAAGCCUGAUGCAGCAACGCCGCGUGCGGGAUGACGGCCUUCGGGUUGUAAACCGCUUUCGCCUGUGACGAAGCGUGAGUGACGGUAAUGGGUAAAGAAGCACCGGCUAACUACGUG